rnacentral:hammerhead_ribozyme from 1 species
UCGCGAAACGGUCCCUCCGCAGGGACCGUCAUCCAGGGGCGGCGCCCUGGGUCUGAUGAGCAGCCAUAG